GAUGAACGCUAGCGGCAGGCCUAAUACAUGCAAGUCGAGGGGUAGUGGAAGCUUGCUUCCAUGAGACCGGCGCACGGGUGCGUAACGCGUAUGCAACCUACCUCUAUCUGGGGGAUAGCCCGGAGAAACCCGGAUUAACACCGCAUAAAAUCACAGUACGGCAUCGUACAAUGAUCAAAUAUUUAUAGGAUAGGGAUGGGCAUGCGUGUCAUUAGUUAGUUGGCGGGGUAACGGCCCACCAAGACCACGAUGACUAGGGGAUCUGAGAGGAUGGCCCCCCCACACUGGUACUGAGACACGGACCAGACUCCUACGGGAGGCAGCAGUAAGGAAUAUUGGUCAAUGGAGGCAACUCUGAACCAGCCAUGCCGCGUGCAGGAAGACGGCCCUCUGGGUUGUAAACUGCUUUUAUUCGGGAAUAAACCUGCUUACGUGUAAGUAGCUGAAUGUACCGAAGGAAUAAGGAUCGGCUAACUCCGUGCCAGC
rnacentral:rRNA from 1 species